AUACGUAGGGAGCGAGCGUUGUCCGGAAUUACUGGGUGUAAAGGGAGCGUAGGCGGGAGUGCAAGUCAGAUGUGAAAUACAUGGGCUCAACCCAUGGGCUGCAUUUGAAACUGCAUUUCUUGAGUGAAGUAGAGGUAAGCGGAAUUCCUGGUGUAGCGGUGGAAUGCGUAGAUAUCAGGAGGAACACCGGUGGCGAAGGCGGCUUACUGGGCUUUUACUGACGCUGAGGCUCGAAAGCGUGGGGAGCAAACAGGAUUAGAUACCCUGGUAGUCCACGCUGUAAACGAUGAUUACUAGGUGUGGGGGGACUGACCCCUUCCGUGCCGCAGUUAACACAAUAAGUAAUCCACCUGGGGAGUACGGCCGCAAGGUUGAAACUCAAAUGAAUUGGCGGGG
rnacentral:rRNA from 1 species